rnacentral:rRNA from 1 species
AUAGUGAACCAGUACCGUGAGGGAAAGGCGAAAAGAACCCCGGCGAGGGGAGUGAAAAAGAACCUGAAACCGUGUACGUACAAGCAGUGGGAGCACAGGUUUACCUGUGUGACUGCGUACCUUUUGUAUAAUGGGUCAGCGACUUAUAUUCUGUAGCAAGGUUAACCGAAUAGGGGAGCCGGAGGGAAACCGAGUCUUAAUUGGGCGUUAAGUUGCAGGGUAUAGACCCGAAACCCGGUGAUCUAGCCAUGGGCAGGUUGAAGGUUGGGUAACACUAACUGGAGGACCGAACCGACUAAUGUUGAAAAAUUAGCGGAUGACCUGUGGCUGGGGGUGAAAGGCCAAUCAAACCGGGAGAUAGCUGGUUCUCCCCGAAAGCUAUUUAGGUAGCGCCUCGUGAAUUCAUCUCCGGGGGUAGAGCACUGUUUCGGCUAGGGGGCCAUCCCGGCUUACCAACCCGAUGCAAACUGCGAAUACCGGAGAAUGUUAUCACGGGAGACACACGGCGGGUGCUAACGUCCGUCGUGAAGAGGGAAACAACCCAGACCGCCAGCUAAGGUCCCAAAGUCAUGGUUAAGUGGGAAACGAUGUGGGAAGGCCCAGACAGCCAGGAUGUUGGCUUAGAAGCAGCCAUCAUUUAAAGAAAGCGUAAUAGCUCACUGGUCGAGUCGGCCUGCGCGGAAGAUGUAACGGGGCUAAACCAU